rnacentral:rRNA from 1 species
ACAGCAGCAGCCGCGGGAAUACAGAGGGUGCAAGCGUUAAUCGGAAUUACUGGGCGUAAAGCGCGCGUAGGUGGUUUGUUAAGUUGGAUGUGAAAGCCCCGGGCUCAACCUGGGAACUGCAUCCAAAACUGGCAAGCUAGAGUACGGUAGAGGGUGGUGGAAUUUCCUGUGUAGCGGUGAAAUGCGUAGAUAUAGGAAGGAACACCAGUGGCGAAGGCGACCACCUGGACUGAUACUGACACUGAGGUGCGAAAGCGUGGGGAGCAAACAGGAUUAGAUACCCGUGUAGUCCCUGUCUCUUAUAC